UACGUAGGGGGCUAGCGUUGUCCGGAAUUAUUGGGCGUAAAGAGCGUGUAGGCGGUUCGAUAAGUCUGCUGUAAAAGUCGGGGGCUCAACCCUCGAAGGCCGGUGGAUACUGUCGAGCUAGAGUACGGAAGAGGCGAGUGGAAUUCCUGGUGUAGCGGUGAAAUGCGCAGAUAUCAGGAGGAACACCGAUGGCGAAGGCAGGUCUCUGGGCCACUACUGACGCUGAGAAGCGAAAGCAUGGGGAGCGAACAGG
rnacentral:rRNA from 1 species